rnacentral:rRNA from 1 species
GACGAACCGUACGAACGUUAUUCGGAAUUACUGGGCUUAAAGGGUGCGUAGGCUGCGCAGAAAGUUGGGUGUGAAAUCCCUCGGCUUAACCGAGGAACUGCGCCCAAAACUACUGUGCUCGAGGGAGACAGAGGUGAGCGGAACUUAGGGUGGAGCGGUGAAAUGCGUAGAGAUCCGGAGGAACACCUGUGGCGAAAGCGGCUCACUGGACCACAACUGACGCUGAGGCGCGAAAGCUAGGGGAGCAAACAGG